CAAAGGUAUUGCAUAGCCUGUACACGUCCUGAACAAGUUGAGCAUUGAAGAUGGUUUCCAAUAUCCAGAUGGACAGGCUGACCAUGAGUGCAAAUCUUCUUGUCCUUAGGAAAAAAAACUUCAAAGGGUAGACAACAGCCAAAUACCGAUCAACGGCAAUGCAGGAAAGACACACACAGAGAUCCAAUAUUGGCUGGAAUGCUGACUAUAAUCACAAAGAUGUAAACAAUGGGAAACAAAUAGUGAUCCAGGUCAUGCUGUUCUUCAAUACAUGUGCUGUUCAUUUUUUCCUUUUUAAGGUAGC
rnacentral:lncRNA from 1 species